AUUGAAACCGGCCGCCUCCGCCUUCUCUCCGUCUUUGACCGGAAAUCUUGCGCCGGAAGCGGAAGCCGCUCCCCCGGAAGCGGAAGUGGUGGUGCAGGAGGAUGGCGGAGCUGGGGCGGCUGCGGGGCUUGGUGGCGGUGAACAGGCUGCUUCUGGCUGCCCCGCAGGUGACUGCGGUUGUGGUGCGAUGUGCAUCCAAGAAGAGUGGGGGCAGCUCAAAAAAUCUUGGUGGCCACAGUCCCGGCAAACGCUAUGGCUAUAAGAAAACAGAAGGUUCCUUUGUUCAUGCAGGCAAUACAUUAGCCACCCAACGGAUGAUACGCUGGCAUCCAGGGGCUCAUGUGGGGAUGGGUUGUAACAAGACUCUCUAUGCUCUGGAGGAUGGGAUUGUGCGGUUCACCAAGGAGGUCUAUGUGCCACCACCCCGCAGCCAAGAGAGCAGGGAAGUGAUCUGUCGUCUACCAAAAGGAGUGGUGCUUUACAAAACGUUCAUCAACGUUGUCCCCACCGAAGAAGUGGGGAGCUUCAAGCUAGUCACCAUGCUUUGAGGCUCUGCUGCCUCAUGCAGUAAUGACUGAUCACCUUGACAGAUGUGGUACUCAAUCAAAAAGAUGUCUGGAGGACUCCUCUAGCUCUGAAAUGACUUGUUGGCGACUCCAGUUUCCUGCUCCUGGAACUCACUGGAUGUAAAUUUGAGAGUUACAAGGUCAGGAUUCCCGCUGGUACCUGAUAAGGUAAAUGUUUUAACAUAAGAAGUAGAUAAGAUAAAGCGUUUGAGGACGAGAGGCCUAGCUUCUGAGAUUUAAUUGAGUGUGUGACAGUAGCUGCUGCAGCCUCACAGAGGUGUAUGUUACAGUGAAACAGCUCCCUGCCUUUGCUCCAGAGACAGUCCUUGGCUGAGUGGACCAUCACCUUUGCUCUGCCCCCUCAAAUACAACAGAAAUGGCUGAGGAUUAUUCCAUGGUCUUUGGUUAAGAUAAGGUUACUAGAGUGAAAAUGGUAGAGCAGAAAUCCCCUCAGGUUUAGUUCACUGUUUCUGGGAGAGAGAUGGCUGCUAAAUCGAUCCUGGUAUUCACUCCACCUUCGUUCUUGUAGGGGAGUGAGUUGAUGGAAAUGUCCACUGCUUUGCCUGUGAUUUGCACAAGUGGUUCUCAGCUGCUUGUGUGACUGAACGAAGGCAUGAAGUUCCACUCUGCCCCUCCGGAAGGGAGAGACAUCACAGGCCCUGCUGUCCUUGCCACAGAAGGAAGGAGAGGUGUUCCAGGGUUGAUUCCUGUUCUACACAGCUGUGUUCCUUUGAGUUUGGUAGCUGAUGGAAGCCUGGAAUGUGUCCAGCAAUCUGUGUCCAUCUGGUAACUCUGACCCUGCUCCAGUUCCUGGGAGGGCUGGAGGAUGCCUCAGGGCUUGCUCAUAGGGAGGUGGCAGCUAUUUGAGAGGAAAGAGGAAUCCAUUAUUACACUGAUUAGAAACACAGUGGCAAAGAUUACUCCAUGUUAUAGAACAGGUUUACGUGAGUUCUUUCACACCAUUGCCACAGCUCUGAAAUUAAAUACUCUGGGCCAUCCAUUAAACUCUUCGUAGAACAGCAGCACUUUUCACGUUGCCAACUAGAUAAGUGUGCAGGAGGAGAUUAUAGGCCAACUGCAGUCUCUAAGGAGAGUUAUGGUGGAAAUCCAAUGCAGCUAUUACAGCCCAUCCCACCCACUCCUACGGCCUGUCUCCUCAUCCCCAGCUAUGGCGUUUGCUGGUAAGUUCAGGGAUCUGUCAGCGUUCCCCUUAAAAACCUUUUCUCAGGAAACCUUCCCUGUGAAACUAUUAAUUUCCUGUUAAAAUAAGAUUAGCCACUACAUAUUCCCCUCCCCCACCUAUAUAUUUCUGGGCAGAAAAUGCCAGCUGUUGCUUAUAUUUAUAAGUAUAAGCCAGAGCUGACUACUCAGGUUUUCAAACACCCCUCACUGUGGUAUCUAUGGCCCAUAUCCUCCAAGGUAUUUAGGCCCCUAGCUCCUGCUGAAAUCAGGAGGCGUUAGGAGCCUAAAUAUCUGUGAGGAUCUGGGCUUGAGUGUUUAAAACAUCCUCACUUCUGCACAGAAAAUCAGUCUGAGGCAAGGUGCGUGGUAAAGAGCUAGGAGCCGGAACUCCCGCUCUACCCCCAUCUCCCUCUGAGACAAGGCCCUUACCUUCUCUGUGCCUCAGGUUCUCUGCCUCACAAGGUGCUAGGAGGUUUAGUAAGUGCAUGUAACGCACUCUGCGCAUGAAACCUGCCCUUGGGAGGCAGGGCUAAAUGUUGUUAUAGGGUCAACUGCACUGAUUCUUUUUUGGAGACAGUCUUAAUGGCUCAACCUUUAAAGGAAGGAAGUCAGCAGAGGAAUCCCACUGUAUUAUAAGAGUCUCAGAUUUCCAGUCUGCCCCAGUCAACACUGGGUGUGGCAAGACUGAACCGAUGCCAUUUGGUACAGCAGACUUAUCCCGCCUGGGGUGCUGCCCCAGGGCUGACCUCACCUGGAUGUGGACACUUCAGACAGAACACCUGCUUUUCACUAGUCUACUGAGCGGGAGGCUUAAGGGUUGGAAGGUGAGCAACAGGCAAAGCCUCACAAUCCAAUAACUUAUGAACAAGCCCAGGCAGGGGAAAAAGACAUUCAACAGUAGCAGCAGCGAGGAGGGCUGCCAGCAUAAGGAGAGGGAGAAAGGAAGACUUGGAAUCCUGUUAGAUCCCGAAGUCACAUUCCCAUCUUCAAACAGAUGGUUCAGACCAGCAGCCCUGUCCCCUCUCCUAGUGCUCUGCAGAUGCACUUGGGAGGGAUCAAUCAUUAACCUGUAGAAAUGUAACCACAGGGAAUUUCCUGGAACCCAGGUGUGCCUUUCCCAGAGAGAAAUGCUAUCAGAGAAAGGCAACCUCAGAGAGAGAACAGAGUCCUCUGCUACUGCACGGCAGAGUGCUGGGGGAAGGCCUACAGGCAAACAGGAUGGCACCGCUGCUGUGCUUCUAGACAGUUGGAGGCAGGAUUUUGGCAGCUGAAGCAGCCUUCCACUCACCUCCGGGGAGGGGUCUACCCACAGUCCAAACCUCUCGGCAAUCAGCUGAUGGAUCUCCCGCUGCCGAUCCUUCUUCCGCACGCUCUCGUAGCUUGGCAAGCGCAGCUGCUCCCAUGGAGGGAGCUGAUAGCUGCUGGGGGGCCCAACGCAGAAUAGUUCAUCUCCCUAGAAAUACCCAAUGCCGCCAAGCAUGGAAACAGGUCAUAUGACUGUCUGAGUCCGUCAGCACCCCUAGUCUGCUGGGAACUCCAUGGCCCAGCAUGCCUCAGCCCAGGAAUUCUGUUCAGGAUGCCAACGCUUAGAGUACCCCCACAGAGACAGCUGUCUGGGGAGCCCUGUUUCUAACGCACCCACACCAGCACCCCAUGAUGAUGGUGCCCCAGAGUUCUCACUGCAACCCCAGGCCUGCAGCACCCACACCAAGGAGAUUCUGUCUGGAGCUUCAUGCCCAAAUCAUUUUUGUAAUAGGACAAUUCUCUCUGGCAUCCUGCACCCACGUCUAAGGGGAUUUUAUCCAGAUCCUACACCCAGGAAUUGCCCCACACCCAAAUACCCUCCCCUGCACCCCAAGAUUCCCCCGGCCUCCAUACCCAAAGCAUCUUCCACUAUAUGACAUGAUCUCUUUGCAGCCCGGUUGUAAUAACUGGGCCUAGGAAUUUACCCUAAUUGUAAAUUCAAGUGUAAGAAGUUAGUAAAGUGCAUAAAAUAUCACAAUAACCCAUAAGAGUUGCUGGGAAAAGGUGCAAAAGGGAAACAGGCUGAAUUGGUACAAACAAAAAGGCCUACAAGGACCGUGUUAAGAUCAUGCCUGGCACACAAGAAGGGUGUGGAACUGGAAAUCAAGGAGCCAAAAUUGGUGUGUUGGAAAUUAGGCCUAAUUGCUGAAUAAUGAGAGGAUAGACUAUUCUGCCCAUCACUCCCUUUUGGGGUCCUUAAAAGACAAAGACUUUGGGAGGGAAAUCAGAAGCUGUCUGCUGACGACUGUUGGCUGGAGGAUGGGUGGACAGGAAGUGAGCUUUACCAUCACGCUGCAACCUUCACCUUCUCCUGGGACUCCAGGAUCCACCAUUACACCAUUGGGCCUGCCUUGUCCGGACCCUGAAAACUGUCCUGAUGUGAGAGGGACCCGGAUGACUGCCUUUUCUAGCUUUGUUAGGUUUUUCCUCCCCCCUCUGGUGUGUGUUUAUCUUGUGUCUUUCAGGAAAAUGGGAUCAGACUUUAACAGCUCCAGUUAUGAUCAUCGUUCAUACCACCUCAAAGGCUAUCAUAAAUAGGAGGGGGUCCUUCCAAAAGCUGUCUGUGGCUAACGGGAAAGGGAACAAGGGGUGUUGUUAAAAUGGAAGCCUCGCUUAGUUCUUUACAUUGCAAAUGUUGUCACCAUUUUUCCUUUUCUGUAUCUUUAAUAAAGGGUUAAAAAGA